rnacentral:rRNA from 1 species
CUUUUCCGUAGGGGAACCUGCGGAGGGAUCAUUA